rnacentral:rRNA from 1 species
AGAGUUUGAUCCUGGCUCAGAUUGAACGCCGGCGGCAUGCCUAACACAUGCAAGUCGGACGAGGCGGCAACGCCGAGUGGCGGACGGGUGAGCAACGCGUAGGAAUCUGCCCACGGGUGGGGGACAACCCGGCGAAAGCCGGGCUAAUACCGCAUAAGUUCUAAGGAAGAAAGCGGGGGACCUUCGGGCCUCGCGCCGGUGGAGGAGCCUGCGUGGGAUUAGCUAGUUGGCGGGGUAAGGGCCCACCAAGGCGACGAUCCCUAGCCGGCCUGAGAGGGUGGCCGGCCACACCGGGACUGAGACACGGCCCGGACUCCUACGGGAGGCAGCAGUGGGGAAUAUUGGACAAUGGGCGAAAGCCUGAUCCAGCCAUGCCGCGUGUGUGAAGAAGGUCUUCGGAUUGUAAAGCACUUUAAGUUGGGAGGAAGGGCAUUAACCUAAUACGUUAGUGUUUUGACGUUACCGACAGAAUAAGCACCGGCUAACUCUGUGCCAGCAGCCGCGGUAAUACAGAGGGUGCAAGCGUUAAUCGGAAUUACUGGGCGUAAAGCGCGCGUAGGUGGUUUGUUAAGUUGAAUGUGAAAUCCCCGGGCUCAACCUGGGAACUGCAUCCAAAACUGGCAAGCUAGAGUAUGGUAGAGGGUGGUGGAAUUUCCUGUGUAGCGGUGAAAUGCGUAGAUAUAGGAAGGAACACCAGUGGCGAAGGCGACCACCUGGACUGAUACUGACACUGAGGUGCGAAAGCGUGGGGAGCAGACAGGAUUAGAUACCCUGGUAGUC